ensembl:misc_RNA 7SK 7SK RNA
UGGUGGAGAGGGGGCUCUGUCGCAUCUGUCACCAGACUGGGUUGACUUGGCUGAUUUGUCUGGCUAGGUAUGUGUCCCCUUCUUCCCUCACUUCCUCCCAAAGCUAAGCCUUCAGAGGAAGAGGACAACUUUCCCUGAUAGAGAAGGACUAUUCUUGGGGCAAGGGUGUAGGAAUGGCUGUACUCACCUGCUAGAACCUCCAAAUGAGCUGUCAAAGUUGUUUCCAGAUUUAUAAUGUUCAACACGUCUGUAAUUUCCAAUUAAAAGGAGUU